UUCAAAUCCCGACACUGCCGCCGAGUAGCCGAGGACCUGGAGUAAGUUACUCCCUUCCCCGGGCCGCUCUCCUCGGGGCGGGUGGGGAGGCCGGCAGGACCUCUCCCGGGACUGGGGGCGGCCUCACUGGGCGCCGUGUCCCGCACACGGGUGUUCGCGUCUAUGAACGGCUGCCGCUGUCGGGACUCCGGGCCAGCACCUCCCAUCGGCGGGUCGGUGGCACCUUUGUUCCCAUCGUGUUCCUCGGAAUGAACACCAUUACCCUCCGCGCCGAGGAGGAAGGAGGGAUGGAGACCUGGUCCCAGCCCCGAAUCAGUCCCGAGACCCCAACACCCAUGCCCGUCCGCGGUGCCACGAUUUCUUUCCGAAGGUUAACGUCUGGCAUUAAGAUGACUUGUUUGACGCCAGGAAACCAUUUCUGAUGACAUCCUGUUCCCACUGCAGCCUGGCCAAGCAGCUUUUCCACGACAUGAACGGGAGUGCACAGCGGGGGGCUGACCUCGAAUGUGAAGCCGGUCUCAGGACGCGCUUCCAGGAUGACUGGCGGGAGGACGGCGUCCUGCUCUGCGGUGCUUCCCCCCAAAGUGCCAAGAAUAUUAGUCAAUGGGACUUUUAUUGGAGGGACACCGACACCCACAGGCUCCACCAGGGAGGGAAACUGCUGCCACUGCUUCAUCGGUGUUAUUGAAAAAACAGCAACAAGCAUUUCGGCGACAGUGUUUGAGGAUGUCUCGCUAUGUGAACAGUCUUCGUGAAAACGUUAAAAUGAUGAACAAUAAAUCGCUGUGGAAACCU